CGGGUGCACUGAUCCGGCCGGGCCUUUCCCUCUGUGGAACCCCAUGGCCUUCACUGGCUGUGCGGGGGAAACAGGACUUUUACUGUGAAAAAAUUAGAGUGCUCCAGGUAGGCCUAUGCUCGAAUACAUUAGCAUGGAAUAAUAGAAUAGGACGCGUGGUUCUAUUUUGUUGGUUUCUAGGACCGCCGUAAUGAUUAAUAGGGACAGUCGGGGGCAUCAGUAUUCAAUUGUCAGAGGUGAAAUUCUUGGAUCUAUUGAAGACUAACUACUGCGAAAGCAUUUGCCAAGGAUGUUUUCAUUGAUAAGGAACGAAAGUUAGGGGAUCGAAGACGAUCAGAUACCGUCGUAGUCUUAACUAUAAACUAUGCCGACUAGGGAUCGGACGAUGUUAUUUCUUGACGCGUUCGGCACCUUUCGAGAAAUCAAAGUGCUUGGGCUCCAGGGGGAGUAUGGUCGCAAGGCUGAAACUUAAAGAAAUUGACGGAAGGGCACCACCAGGGGUGGAACCUGCGGCUUAAUUUGACUCAACACGGGGAAACUCACCAGGUCCAGACACAGUGAGGAUUGACAGAUUGAGAGCUCUUUCUUGAUUCUGUGGGUGGUGGUGCAUGGCCGUUCUUAGUUGGUGGAGUGAUUUGUCUGCUUAAUUGCGAUAACGAACGAGACCUUAACCUGCUAAAUAGCCCGUACUGCUCUGGCAGUUCGCCGGCUUCUUAGAGGGACUAUCGG
rnacentral:rRNA from 1 species